rnacentral:rRNA from 1 species
CGUAGGUGGCGAGCGUUGUCCGGAUUUACUGGGCGUAAAGGGAGCGUAGGCGGUUUUUUAAGUGGGGUGUGAAAUCCCUGGGCUUAACCCAGGAAUUGCAUUCCAUACUGGAAGACUAGAGUGCAGGAGAGGAAAGUGGAAUUCCAAGUGUAGCGGUGAAAUGCGUAGAGAUUUGGAGGAACACCAGUGGCGAAGGCGACUUUCUGGACUGUAACUGACGCUGAGGCUCGAGAGCGUGGGGAGCAAACAGGAUUAGAUACCCUGGUAGUCCACGCUGUAAACGAUGAAUACUAGGUGUAGGGGGCGAAGCCCUCUGUGCCGCAGUUAACACAUUAAGUAUUCCGCCUGGGGAGUACGAUCGCAAGAUUA